rnacentral:rRNA from 1 species
CCUACGGGAGGCAGCAGUGAGGAAUAUUGGUCAAUGGACGAGAGUCUGAACCAGCCAAGCAGCGUGCAGGAUGACGGCCCUAUGAGUUGUAAACUUCUUUUGUAUGGGAAUAAACCGUUCUACGUGUGGGCUUUUGUAUGUACCAUACGAAUAAGGAUCGGCUAACUCCGUGCCAGCAGCCGCGGUAAUACGGAGGAUCCGAGCGUUAUCCGGAUUUAUUGGGUUUAAAGGGCGCGUAGGUGGAUUGGUAAGUCAGUUGUGAAAGGUCCCCGCUCAACCGGAAAAUUGCAGUUGAUACUGGCAGUCUAGAGUGCAGUAGAGGUGGGCGGAAUUCAUGGUGUAGCGGUGAAAUGCUUAGAUAUCACGAAGAACACCGAUUGCGAAGGCAGUUCACUGGACUGUAACUGACACUGAGGCUCGAAAGCGUGGGGAGCAAACAGGAUUAGAUACCCUAGUAGUC